CAGUAGCCGCGGUAAUACGUAGGUGGCAAGCGUUGUCCGGAAUUAUUGGGCGUAAAGGGCUCGCAGGCGGUUUCUUAAGUCUGAUGUGAAAGCCCCCGGCUCAACCGGGGAGGGUCAUUGGAAACUGGGAAACUUGAGUGCAGAAGAGGAGAGUGGAAUUCCACGUGUAGCGGUGAAAUGCGUAGAGAUGUGGAGGAACACCAGUGGCGAAGGCGACUCUCUGGUCUGUAACUGACGCUGAGGAGCGAGAGCGUGGGGAGCGACCAGGAUUAGAUACCCGCGUAGUCCCUGUCUCUUAUAA
rnacentral:rRNA from 1 species